rnacentral:rRNA from 1 species
UACGAAGGGUGCAAGCGUUAAUCGGAAUUACUGGGCGUAAAGGGUGCGUAGGCGGUUGUUUAAGUCUGUCGUGAAAUCCCCGGGCUCAACCUGGGAAUUGCAUUUGAGACUGCACGGCUAGAGUGUGUCAGAGGGGGGUAGAAUUCCACGUGUAGCAGUGAAAUGCGUAGAGAUGUGGAGGAAUACCGAUGGCGAAGGCAGCCCCCUGGGAUAACACUGACGCUCAUGCACGAAAGCGUGGGGAGCAAACAGG